UCCGCUGUAGCACAAUGGUUAAAUUUCAAAGUUGAUAUAUGAAAUUCCAGGUUCGAAUCCUGGCAGCGGAA
rfam:Corchorus olitorius cultivar O-4 contig20761, whole genome shotgun sequence.